UGAGGAAUAUUGGUCAAUGGGCGAGAGCCUGAACCAGCCAAGUAGCGUGCAGGAUGACGGCCCUAUGGGUUGUAAACUGCUUUUGUAUGGGGAUAAAGUCAAUCACGUGUGAUUGUUUGCAGGUACCAUACGAAUAAGGACCGGCUAAUUCCGUGCCAGCAGCCGCGGUAAUACGGAAGGUCCGGGCGUUAUCCGGAUUUAUUGGGUUUAAAGGGAGCGUAGGCUGGAGAUUAAGUGUGUUGUGAAAUGUAGACGCUCGACGUCUGACUUGCAGCGCAUACUGGUUUCCUUGAGUACGCACAACGUUGGCGGAAUUCGUCGUGUAGCGGUGAAAUGCUUAGAUAUGACGAAGAACUCCGAUUGCGAAGGCAGCUGACGGGAGCGCAACUGACGCUGAAGCUCGAAGGUGCGGGUAUCGAACAGGAUUAGAUACCCUGGUAGUCCGCACAGUAAACGAUGGAUGCCCGCUGUUGGUACCUGGUAUCAGCGGCUAAGCGAAAGCAUUAAGCAUCCCACCUGGGGAGUACGCCGGCAACGGUG
rnacentral:rRNA from 1 species